AGACUUCUUGAAGAAUCUCACCUUAUAUUCAAAUCAGUUUUAGUGAGAUCAUGUUAUCUAUAAAUAAUAGUCUUCUCUUUUAUCAGCUGGUUCAGUUUUGGCCCAGAGUUCAUGAACUCUUCCCGGAAACCAUAUUACAGCAUUACGGAAGACAGGGAUUAUACUUUAUACUCCCUACUGGCAUCUGAGUGCAAUUUAUUCCACCAACAUUGUACUGUGCAAAAAAAAAAAAGGAUUAUCACUAAAUCACAAAUACCUUUAGAGAAUCAAAGCACUGGACUAAGAAAAGCUUUUCUUCUAUUUGACAUCAUAAUAAGUUACUGAGCUUCUGAGGGACCCGGCGCUCGCUGAUCAAAGCCUCGGCUCUCUCGGCAAGUGAUAAGUCACAUCUCAGUUUGGGGGAAAUUGGCUGCAGCUGACGUCCCGUGCAAACUGACAGCGGGAUGAAGGACUUCCCUUUUAUUCCAAGUGAUUCGUAAUGAGACAUUCAACAUAGCUAUAUAUAAAUAAAAAACUAAAUAUUUUCCAUUUUAAUCCCUUUUGAAAAAAAAAAAAAUUAUUCAGGUCCGUGGAACCAAAAAGAUAUGGAAAGCGAGCAAGGUGUCUGGCAGCACACUGGAUUCAGUACAGACUACAGAAGUCUAUUCAAAAACAAAUGAACAAACAGGAGCAAAUGUUUCAGCACAUUGCUAUCUUCAAUGCUCACUCUGCAACAAACAGUCACCCUUUUGUUGGUUGUCUUACAGUAUAUACACAAAUAUGAAUUUAGAAGCACCAGGUGGUUAUUAAGGUCCGACUAAACAGUGUUGGCCAAAUGGUUGAGCAAAAACCUCCAGAUGAUGCUGAAACCAAAAAAAAGUCCCAAGGAGAAUCCAGGAAACAAGUCUGAGUUGUGGGG